GUUAAAACAGCAGCCUCAGGUGGGUGGGGCGGCCCCAGAGUCUUUCUGUGGGCUCAGCUUCCCGGCCCCUGAGAGCAGCAUCUGGGGGUCCCUGAGGCGGGGUGAAGGCCCCUCCCUAGCUAGGCCUGCCUCGUUUCCAGGCGCCUGACCCGUGCGCUAGGGCCACUUGGGCGGAGGAGGGAUGGGAGAGAUUUAGUCCUUGGGGUUCCCAGCUCAGUGCAAGGAAGGUCUUCUGUAGACCUUCCUCCCUGGGCGGGGUCUGCCCUUGGUUUCUGGGCCCCUCCCCUCUCCAGACCACUUUGUUGAGAUGCGACCUGCGGGGGGAGAGAUUUUUCUCUUAGGAGUUUUCACCUGGCAGUGCGCUCGCUGCACGUGCGUCUUCAGAUACUCGAAUGGGACUUUUAGAAAAAUCCUGUAACCAAGUUGGGGAUCUCCUUGAAACAUUUUGCUGGCCACCACUCAACACAGAGGCGUUUCACUUACCGUGUACUGAACCCAGCCCUAGGGCCACACCAACCGUGAGGAGACGGUUCGGGUCAUCUCCUGCUCGUAUGCGGAAGGGUUGAGCUUAACCAUUGUCUUCAGUUCACCACUGAAUCCAUCGUGGUCUUCAGAUGCGAGGCCUCUCGAAUUGCAUUCAUCCAUGGCCGUAUCCCCCAGCCCUAAGAGGACUGUUAGAGUGUGGUGCCCCCGCUCCCUCGGUGCAGGACCGUGUCUUCAACUCCAAGUAGGUGGUGGUCUGCUGCUUCGGUUCUGCACUCAGUGCCGUUGCUGUGUGUGACUCCAGGCGAUGGCUCUCCACUGCUGUUUGCUCCUCUAGGGCACGCGUGGCUCUUCUCAGUGUGACACUUGGAGCCAGACAGGUCUUUGCACCUGCUUCCACCCAUAGAAUGGAGGAUUUCCAGUGGGAAGAGUGGACUAUUCAUCCGUUUUAUGGAGGAACCACGGGCCCAGAGAGCCAAGGCUCAGCCUGCCCGACUGCAGCGCCUGGAACAGGGUGCCGAGGAGACAGCCUGUAUCGGGCCCAUCCCAAGAGGUGUGGUCCCCAGCACCAAGCCAACAGGGGCGACACAGAUCACGACUCAGGGCACCCGCGUAUUUCCCAUCUGGAGAAUGAAGAUGCUUCCCAAGAGCCCCUCGGGCCAAG
rnacentral:lncRNA from 1 species